rnacentral:rRNA from 1 species
GAUGAACGCUGACAGAAUGCUUAACACAUGCAAGUCAACUUGAACUUCGGUUUGGGUGGCGGACGGGUGAGUAACGCGUAAAGAACUUGCCUCACAGCUAGGGACAACAUUUGGAAACGAAUGCUAAUACCUGAUAUUAUGAUUUUAGGGCAUCCUAGAAUUAUGAAAGCUAUAUGCGCUGUGAGAGAGCUUUGCGUCCCAUUAGCUAGUUGGAGAGGUAACGGCUCACCAAGGCGAUGAUGGGUAGCCGGCCUGAGAGGGUGAACGGCCACAAGGGGACUGAGACACGGCCCUUACUCCUACGGGAGGCAGCAGUGGGGAAUAUUGGACAAUGGACCAAGAGUCUGAUCCAGCAAUUCUGUGUGCACGAUGAAGUUUUUCGGAAGGUAAAGUGCUUUUAGUUGGGAAGAAAAAAUGACGGUACCAACAGAAGAAGUGACGGCUAAAUACGUG